rnacentral:rRNA from 1 species
CUACGGGACGCAGCAGUCGAGAAUCUUCGGCAAUGGGCGCAAGCCUGACCGAGCGAUGCCGCGUGCGGGAUGAAGGCCUUCGGGUUGUAAACCGCUGUCGAGGGGGAGCAACUUCCAUAGAGUUAUCUUUAUGGAUUGAGCGAUCCCUGGAGGAAGGACGGGCUAAGUUCGUGCCAGCAGCCGCGGUAAGACGAACCGUCCAAACGUUAUUCGGUAUCACUGGGCUUAAAGAGUUCGUAGGCGGCUAAACAGGUGAGGUGUGAAAGCCCUCGGCUCAACCGAGGAACUGCGCUUCAAACCGUUUAGCUAGAGGAAGACAGAGGUGAGCGGAACUGAUGGUGGAGCGGUGAAAUGCGUUGAUAUCAUCAGGAACACCGGUGGCGAAAGCGGCUCACUGGGUCUUUUCUGACGCUGAGGAACGAAAGCUAGGGGAGCGAACGGGAUUAGAUACCCGGGUAGUC